UGCUUUGACAUCUUGUGCUGGUGGAAGAUAAAUGGUUGCAAGUUUCCAGUCCUGGCAGCAAUAGCAAGGGAUGUUCUUGGAAUCCAAACCUCCACAGUAGCCUCCGAGUCUUGUUUUUCAACAGGAGGCAGAGUGAUUGACUGUUUUAGGAGCUCAUUAACUCCUAGAACAGUGGAGGGACUGAUUUGCAUGCAGAACUGGUUGCUAGGUGAUGAUAUUGCAGAGGUUGUUGAUGAUUGCUCAAUUGAAAACCUCGAGUUUUAUGAAGAAGUUGAGCAAGAGCAUGAAAGCACUGCAUCUAGCAAAACCAAUGUAUGUCCAGCUCCAAAUCCAAGAGCAAAAGGCAAGGGAAAGCUUGGGGCAGCUAGUAAUGUGAUAGAUGUUUGAACUUUGUUCAAUUCAUUUAGUUGUGUGCACAUUUUCAAUCAAAUGUCAGAUUGUGAACUGUAAUGGAUUAUUAAAUUAUGCAGAUUUGGUCUUCUUUCA